AUUCAACUGACGAAUCCCAAAUAGGACGAAACGCGCGUCCUGGAU
rfam:Schistosoma margrebowiei strain Zambia genome assembly, scaffold: SMRZ_scaffold0000155